rnacentral:rRNA from 1 species
UACGUAGGGUGCAAGCGUUGUCCGGAAUUAUUGGGCGUAAAGAGCUUGUAGGCGGUUUGUCGCGUCUGCUGUGAAAUUUCGGGGCUCAACCCCGAACUUGCAGUGGGUACGGGCAGACUAGAGUGUGGUAGGGGAGACUGGAAUUCCUGGUGUAGCGGUGAAAUGCGCAGAUAUCAGGAGGAACACCGGUGGCGAAAGCGGCGUGCUGGACCUUUUCUGACGCUGAGGCGCGAAAGCUAGGGGAGCAAACGGG